UACGUAGGGUGCGAGCGUUGUCCGGAGUUAUUGGGCGUAAAGGGCUCGUAGGCGGUUUGUCACGUCGGGAGUGAAAACUCGGGGCUCAACCCCGAGCCUGCUUCCGAUACGGGCAGACUAGAGGUAUGCAGGGGAGAAUGGAAUUCCUGGUGUAGCGGUGAAAUGCGCAGAUAUCAGGAGGAACACCGGUGGCGAAGGCGGUUCUCUGGGCAUUACCUGACGCUGAGGAGCGAAAGUGUGGGGAGCGAACAGG
rnacentral:rRNA from 1 species